GAAUAAGGAGAUCAUAACAUUAACUAACUCUCAGGACUGCUAUGAAGAUAAAAUGAGAUCAUCAUCAUCAUCGUCAUCAUCACUUAUUCAAUGCUUACUACCAUCUUGGCACUCUUAAGUGUUACAAGUAUUUUAACUCUAACAAUAACUCCACAAAGAAGAAAUCCUACUAUUACGUAAGUGAUCUUCAUGAAGCUCCCCAUUCCCCAUGGAGUUUGGAAGGAGAAGCAUUCCUGUAGCCUUCUGUUGAUAAGGGAAGAAGAAUCUUCCUGCUUGGACACUGGGCUUCUGAAAAGGCCGUGUGCUCUCCUAUCUCACAGUCUUUUUUCUUUUACUUUGUUUGUUUGUUUUCUCUUUUUAAUUGUUUAUUUCUGACUUCACAGUCUUGUAUGUGUUUUGACUGUCAGAAGGAUGAGCAUUUGGUGUGGUAGAAAAACAUUGUUGGAUUAGUACCUCUCAUUAGUCCCUAAAAAUAGGUAUGUAUCUGGCCCCAACUCCCGGUGACUCUCUAAGCUUAGGAUGCAUUUUUUUUGGUAUGUUUUAUGUGUAAUUUUGAGUUUACCCAGUGAUUUUGAAGACAGGACAAAAUCCCAUGUGAACAUUGUCUUGUACUCCAUUAAAUUGUCAUUACCAGAGUUACGGGAAGAUUGUUAUCUCAUUCUAACUUUAUAUCACCAAUAUCUAACACAGCCGCUGCAAAAUCAUUGGUAUUCAAUAAACAUUUGUUAAAUGAAUAAAUGAAUGAGUGAAAAGCCAAAUGUAAUAUGGAGGAAAGUUGAAUUCUUUGGUACAUAAUAGGCAGAAUAUAAUCAGGGAAAUGUGCACCCUGAGAAAUUGCUAUCAUCAUCUUAACACAAUAUAACAUCUAAAGUUCUUAAAUUGGUCCUCUUGAUACCAUUGUGUUUAUUGUCUCUAUUUUUAUACUUUUAGGCUUUGGUUUCAUUUUCUACUUAUUAGUUAAAUAAUUAUGAGAACUGUGGGAAUAAAUUUAAGAUAUUACCAUGUUUCUAUAGAGAGUUAUGCUGUAAUGUAGUGAUUAUGAAAUGAUCUCAAAUCUACUCAGAAUUAUUAAAAUGUAUAGUUUAAUACAUAUUUUUAUUUUUGUUCAUUCUUCCCCAAAUUAUAUUAAAAUGAUCCUUCUGCACUU